GGCAUGUGAAGAAUGUGGUGGGACUGUUCUGAAGACAAAGGAUAGAGGACCCCACUUCAGAUGGAACAGAACACUUGGAAGUUCUGACUCCUCAGUCUGCCAAAGGCAUGUAUAUGUAUGUGGCCCUGCCUACUACAGACUGCUGUGCAAACACAUCGGAGAGAAGCACUUCAUUCAAAGCCUCAUAGAACUGGGUGAAUACGUCACAAAUAGCAUACAGUGCAUGAUUGCACGUGGUUGUCAUCCACUCUGAUUUCUGAAGGAAAAAAAGAUGAAUCUUCAAAACUAACAUCUCUGGGGUGAGAUGGCUACUCUUGUAAGCAAGACUGUCAUUACAGUAAGUAUCAACAUCUCCAAACUGUCUACGUCCACUUGCUCACUCACUAUCUCCACAGUCAGAUCCUACAGAAACAGUCAGGUGUGUGAGCAAAUGUUUGCUGAAGAAGAUGUGCACCACCAUGACAUUCAUAUCUGAAAACUGCAUUGUAUGAUGUGCUGCACCGUGGACUCAACAAAUACUAAACUGUCCCUUAAAAUAACACAGGAAAAUAAAAACUGCAUACGGGCUGGA